rnacentral:rRNA from 1 species
CCUACGGGUGGCAGCAGUAGGGAAUAUUGCUCAAUGGGGGAAACCCUGAAGCAGCAACGCCGCGUGGAGGAUGAAGGUUCUCGGAUUGUAAACCCCUUUUGUUAGAGAAGAUAAUGACGGUACCUAACGAAUAAGCACCGGCUAACUCCGUGCCAGCAGCCGCGGUAAUACGGAGGGUGCAAGCGUUAUUCGGAAUCACUGGGCGUAAAGGGCGCGUAGGCGGGGUAGCAAGUCAGACGUUAAAUCCUAGGGCCUAACCCCAGCACUACCGUUGAAACUGCUUUUCUGGAGUGCGGGAGAGGUAGGUGGAAUUCGUGGUGUAGCGGUGAAAUGCGUAGAUAUCAAGAGGAAUACCGAUUGCGAAGGCGGCCUGCUGGAACGUAACUGACGCUGAUGCACGAAAGCGUGGGGAGCAAACAGGAUUAGAUACCCCUGUAGUC